UACGAAGGGUGCAAACGUUGCUCGGAAUCAUUGGGCGUAAAGCGCACGUAGGCGGCCUGUUAAGUCGGAUGUGAAAUCCCUCGGCUCAACCGAGGACGUGCAUUCGAAACUGGCAAGCUCGAGUAUGGAAGAGGGUCGCGGAAUUCCCGGUGUAGAGGUGAAAUUCGUAGAUAUCGGGAGGAACACCAGUGGCGAAGGCGACUAUCUGGGCUGCAACUGACGCUGAGGCGCGAAGGCUAGGGUAGCAAAAAGGG
rnacentral:rRNA from 1 species